AACGGGGGGGGCAAGUGUUCUUCGGAAUGACUAGGCGUAAAGGGCACGUAGGCGGUUCAUCGGGUUGAAAGUGAAAGUCGUCAAAAAGUGGCGGAAUGCUUUCGAAACCACUGAACUUGAGUGAGACAGAGGAGAGUGGAAUUUCGUGUGGAGGGGUGAAAUCUACGGAUCUACGAAGGAACGCCAAAAGCGAAGGCAGCUCUCUGGGUCUCUACCGACGCUGGUGUGCGAAAGCAUGGGGAGCGAACGGGAUUAGAAACCCGGUAGUCC
rnacentral:rRNA from 1 species